rnacentral:snRNA from 1 species
ACUUAUACCUUGCAGGAGAAGUACCAAGUCAUAAAAAUGGUUUUCUCAGGUGGAGGCUCAUCCAUUGUACUUGGGGUGUGCUGUUGAUCCCUGUGACUUCCCCAAAUGUGGGAAAUUCACUUGCAUAAUUUAUGUUAGUAGGAGAUUGCACUUA